UCGGGAAUUUUGGGCAAUGGGCGCAAGCCUGAUCCAGCCAUGCCGCGUGCAGGAUGAAGGCCUUCGGGUUGUAAACUGCUUUUGUACGGAACGAAACGGUCUUUUCUAAUACAGAAGGCUAAUGACGGUACCGUAAGAAUAAGCACCGGCUAACUACGUGCCAGCAGCCGCGGUAAUACGUAGGGUGCAAGCGUUAAUCGGAAUUACUGGGCGUAAAGCGUGCGCAGGCGGUUAUGUAAGACAGUUGUGAAAUCCCCGGGCUCAACCUGGGAACUGCAUCUGUGACUGCAUAGCUAGAGUACGGUAGAGGGGGAUGGAAUUCCGCGUGUAGCAGUGAAAUGCGUAGAUAUGCGGAGGAACACCGAUGGCGAAGGCAAUCCCCUGGACCUGUACUGACGCUCAUGCACGAAAGCGUGGGGAGCAAACAGGAUUAGAUACCCCCGUAGUCCCUGAGCGGGCUGGCAAGGCGCAU
rnacentral:rRNA from 1 species